UGUGGCCAAGUUUUUAAGGGCGCACGGUGGAUGCCUUGGCACCAGGAACCGAUGAAGGACGUGGGAGGCCACGAUAGUCCCCGGGGAGCUGUCAACCAAGCUUUGAUCCGGGGGUUUCCGAAUGGGGAAACCCGGCAGUCGUCAUGGGCUGUCACCCGCUGCUGAACACAUAGGCAGUGUGGAGGGAACGAGGGGAAGUGAAACAUCUCAGUACCCUCAGGAAGAGAAAACAACCGUGAUUCCGGGAGUAGUGGCGAGCGAAACUGGAUGAGGCCAAACCGUAUGCGUGUGAUACCCGGCAGGGGUUGCGCAUGCGGGGUUGUGGGAUCUCUUUUUCACAGUCUGCCGGCUGUGAGGCGAGUCAGAAACCGUUGAUGUAGGCGAAGGACAUGCGAAAGGUCCGGCGUAGAGGGUAAGACCCCCGUAGCUGAAACAUUAACGGCUCGUUUGAGAGACACCCAAGUAGCACGGGGCCCGAGAAAUCCCGUGUGAAUCUGGCGGGACCACCCGCUAAGCCUAAAUAUUCCCUGGUGACCGAUAGCGGAUAGUACCGUGAGGGAAUGGUGAAAAGUACCGCGGGAGCGGAGUGAAAUAGUACCUGAAACCGUGUGCCUACAAGCCGUGGGAGCGUCGCGCAUCGAGCUUGCUCGGUGCGUCGUGACUGCGUGCCUUUUGAAGAAUGAGCCUGCGAGUUAGCGGUGUGUAGCGAGGUUAACCCGUGUGGGGAAGCCGUAGCGAAAGCGAGUCCGAAUAGGGCGUUUGAGUUGCACGCUCUAGACCCGAAGCGGAGUGAUCUAGCCAUGGGCAGGUUGAAGCGGAGGUAAGACUUCGUGGAGGACCGAACCCACCAGGGUUGAAAACCUGGGGGAUGACCUGUGGUUAGGGGUGAAAGGCCAAUCAAACUCCGUGAUAGCUGGUUCUCCCCGAAAUGCAUUUAGGUGCAGCGUCGUGUGUUUCUUGCCGGAGGUAGAGCACUGGAUAGGCGAUGGGCCCUACCGGGUUACUGACCUUAGCCAAACUCCGAAUGCCGGUAAGUGAGAGCGCGGCAGUGAGACUGUGGGGGAUAAGCUCCAUGGUCGAGAGGGAAACAGCCCAGAGCAUCGACUAAGGCCCCUAAGCGUACGCUAAGUGGGAAAGGAUGUGGAGUCGCAGAGACAACCAGGAGGUUGGCUUAGAAGCAGCCACCCUUGAAAGAGUGCGUAAUAGCUCACUGGUCAAGUGAUUCCGCGCCGACAAUGUAGCGGGGCUCAAGCGUACCGCCGAAGUCGUGUCAUUCAUA
rnacentral:rRNA from 1 species